rnacentral:tRNA from 1 species
UAGCUCAGCUGGGAGAGCACCUCCCUUACAAGGAGGGGGUCGGCGGUUCGAUCCCGUCN